rnacentral:rRNA from 1 species
UACGAAGGGGGCUAGCGUUGUUCGGAAUUAUUGGGCGUAAAGAGCUCGUAGGCGGCCUGUUGCGUCCGCUGUGAAAUCCCGGGGCUCAACCCCGGGCCUGCAGUGGAUACGGGCUGGCUGGAGGCAGGCAGGGGAGAACGGAAUUCCUGGUGUAGCGGUGAAAUGCGCAGAUAUCAGGAGGAACACCGGUGGCGAAGGCGGUUCUCUGGGCCUGUUCUGACGCUGAGGAGCGAAAGCGUGGGGAGCGAACAGG